UAAUGAUCUUUGAUAUUAUUGUAGUUUAUACAUUCGAUUACGAUGGACUUCGUAUAUACACAUCUGUUUGGCAUUGGCAUGAUUGAGAAUGUUUUAAGGGGGGGGGGGGAUAUCGAAAUAAAUGUUCAUGGCAAUCUCGUCGGAAGUUAACCCCACCCCCUUUAAUAUCUCAUCAUCAGGGCUCGGAAGUUUUCUAAAAAAUGGCACGGCAGUGUUUUUAAAUUGCAACGUCCUAAUCAUGUU